GAUGAAGAACGCAGCGAAAUGCGAUAAGUAAUGUGAAUUGCAGAAUUCAGUGAAUCAUCGAAUCUUUGAACGCACCUUGCACCCUUUGGCAUUCCGAAGGGUAUGCUCGUUUGAGUGUCAUUGUACUCUCACACUCCCACUCUUUUGGAUUGGGAGCGGUGGACUUGGGUGUUGCUGCUUCACUGUGGCUCGCCUCAAAUGGAGUAGUGCAACUCUCGGUUGGACAUAGUACGGCGUGAUAAGUGUCUUCGCCGGCGCCUCACUAGAGGGUGGCCGAUCGGGAGCUCUGUGCUUCAAACCGUCUUCGGACAAUCUCUGACAACUUGACCUCAAAUCGAGUAGGACUACCCGCUGAACUUAAGCAUAUCAAUAAGCGGAGGA
rnacentral:misc_RNA from 1 species